AGUUCAUUCUAACCCAGCAGACACUGAGCAUGUGCUUGCAAGUUAAAGUCAUCAUAUUAUCUGUUAUCAGGCAUUUGUUGCCACAGCAAUACUGCAUAAUGAAUCACUCCAAAAUUUAGUGGCUGAAAACCACUACCAAUUAUUUAUCUGCUGUAAAUUAAAUUUUGACAACUCAUUGUUUUUAAAUUUUUGUUUACUUACUUUACUUGAAAGAAGUGAGAAAGAGCUCCCAUCUGCUGACUUACUCCUCCGAUGCAGUUACAGCUAGUGUUAGAGCUGAAUCCGGGAGCCAGGGACCCAAGCACUGGAGCCAUCACCUGCAGCCUCCCAAGAUGUAUGCUAGUAGGAAGCUGGUACUCUGAGAUGAGAAGUGGGCAUUGCAAGCUGCAUCUUAACCGAGUGUUCACCCCCCAAGCCUUUGUUGUGGCUCUGGAGGUUACAGGUGAACAGUUGUACUGCUCGGGAUCAGAUCCAUCAGAUGUCUGCUAGACUACUUGUAAGGUAAAAGGAGAAAGGCAUAAGAAAUGGCCUUUUUUCCCCUUAAAAGAGAAGUAUCUGGAGGAGUAUCUGGCAAACAAACAAAACUCUUUAAGGAAAAAUUAUGCCAGACUUCUGUGUCGUGCACCAAAAGCAUUCGGUGAAAAAACUCUGGAGGUUAAAGGGUGGGGGAGGUUAAAGGGUGGGGGAGUGAUAGAAAAGAAAGAGUGGGAAGCACAGAGGAGGAGGAAGGCACAAGAGUACCGUGAUCACUGGCCAAGAGUAACAAUGGAAAACCACUCCUAAAACCAAGAAAAAUGCCUGCGUUGGCAGCGAGGGGCUCUGGGUUCCAAGCGUGACUCUUCACGUGACAAGCUUCCAGACUCACACUGGCAGGUGGUGUGUCCAGGUCUCCCUCUGCUCACGGGCAUCCUAGGAGUAUAGAGAUCCUCUCCAACCCUAGCAUUCUCUCAAUGGCAUAUGGCUUGCCUUUCAGCUUCCGGUGCUGAGUGAGGAACAACUUCAAAGAAAAACCUAGUGCUGCAUCUGCAGAGAGAAAUGGAAAAGAGCACCAGAAAACCUAGAGGCAAGGAAUGAGAAUGAAAGUGUAAUGCAAUUUCACGUGAAUGGGAAAUUGUUAUUAGUAAUCUUGAUAAGUUAUCCAGCCACUGUCAGUCUUCUUUGGAACAAGGUGAAAUUCAGGACUGUUUAAUUCAAAUUUCUUUGAUUUAUUCCAUGGGAUCCUGAAGAGAAUCCUCUGAAAUGCCCAAAAGCCAACAGCCUUCUUACCAACUAGCUUUUCCAGCUAUGCAUUAGGACACAGAGAACCCUAAGGUCUGUAAAGUUCGGAAUUAAUGUUUUGGUCAGAUUAUACUGGGUGUAGAAUCCGGGUAAGUCACAUAAGCUUUCUGGACUGGUACUUCAUCUGUGAAAUGGAAAUGAUGAAACCCAAGCUUAUUUGAAGGUCAAGAAUUGACAAGUUGCUCUCUUUGUCCUUUUUCCCUCUCUUUUAGAAUUUUUUGAAUCUAAGAUAUUCGGGGGAAUUAUUGAUCUUUCAUUCCCCUUUUAUAAUAAGGCAAACACAGUUAAUGGUCCCUGAAGACAUUUUGCCCAGCAAGUUUGUUUUUCUCCUUUACUUGUUGUCUUUUGAGUUACAACUUCAGACAUUUCUUUGGCCGUUGCAUCAGAUAGUUUUUUUCCAUUACUAACUGUUAAAAAAAUCAUUAAAUUUCCUUUGAUCUUGAGCCUAGCGUUUGCAAUCAUGGUUGUUAUCAUCUAACUACAUGCCUCAUUUUCAUACCAACUAGCUGACUCUUGGAUUCCUGAACACAUCUUGGUUUGUAUCUACCCUCCUGAAACUGUAGUUCUGUGGCUCUGUAUCAAAUAAUUCAUCUACCUGAUUCUGACAAUAACUACCAGUUUCAAA